AUUUAUUUUAAUUUCUACCCAAUUCAUCUUAAAUUUUCUGUAAGGAAAGCUAACAAUAAACUAGAAAACCCAUGUACCUUUAGUAUCAGGGUAAAUUAAACUUUUUAACUAAAUUUGAAAUCCUGAAAGGAGAGGAUCUAAAUAUUUUACAAAAUUAUAUAUUAAUAUAAUAUAAAUUUAUAUUUAGAAAUUAAACUUUAAUCGUAUUUCCUGAUAGCCGGUAUUUUAUUUUAUAAAAACUUAUUUAUAAAAAAUUAUAGUACAAGCUAUAAAUUUUAAUCAUCUAAUUUCAUUUUAAAUUUAGAAUUAAAAUUUUUACAAAAAAUAUAAUAAUUAAAAUUAGGAUUAAUAAAUUUUUAAAAAUAAUUUCCCAUUUAUUUUACAAAAAUAAUAAUUCAAUAAGUAUAUUUUUUAAAUAACUAUUUUAAACUCAGCCCUAAAGAAAUGACUGUUUAUCAAAAACAUUUUUUUAAGAAAUAUUUUAAAAUAAAACCUGCUCAAUGAACAUUUAAUAGCCGCAGUAAUUUAACUGUGCUAAGGUAGCAUAAUCAUUAGUCUCUUAAUUGGAGACUGGAAUGAAUGGUUAAACAUUUUCUUUCCUUUAACAUCUUAAAAAUAAAACUUUUAUUAAAUAUAAAAAUAUAUUUAUUAUAAAAUUAGACGACAAGACCCUUUCAAACUUUACUGCAGUUAAGCUGGGGAAGCUUAAUAAAUAAAAUCUUACUUUAACAUAAAAAAAAGACCUAAUUUAAAUUAAUUAAAUGAAAAAGUUACUGAAGGGAUAACAGCAUAAUAAAUUUAUAAAGUUCUAAUAAAAAAAUUAGUUUAUGACCUCGAUGUUGAAUUAUUUUACCUAUUAAACGCAAGAGUUUAAAAAGGAGGUCUGUUCGACCUUUAAACAUAUACAUGAUUUGAGUUCAAAUCGGCGUAAGCCAGAUUGGAUUCUAUCUAUUCAAUAAUUCUUUUAGUACGAAAGGGCCAAAGAAAAAUUAAUCUAAUAUA
rnacentral:rRNA from 1 species